GUGCUGGCUUCUGCAGCACAUAGACUAAAAUUGGACGGAUAUAGAGAAGAUUGGCAUCACCCCUGGCAAGGACGACGCGCAAAUUCGAGAAGUGUUCCAUAGUUUU
ensembl:snRNA U6 U6 spliceosomal RNA